AAAGGGUCCGUAGGCGGACUCGUAAGUCAGUGGUGAAAUCUCAUAGCUUAACUAUGAAACUGCCAUUGAUACUGCGGGUCUUGAGUAAGGUAGAGGUAGCUGGAAUAAGUAGUGUAGCGGUGAAAUGCAUAGAUAUUACUUAGAACACCAAUUGCGAAGGCAGGUUACCAUGUCUUAACUGACGCUGAUGCACGAAAGCGUGGGGAGCAAACAGGAUUAGAUACCCUGGU
rnacentral:rRNA from 1 species